rnacentral:rRNA from 1 species
ACGGAGGGUGCAAGCGUUGUUCGGAAUUACUGGGCGUAAAGGGCGCGUAGGUGGUUGUGUAAGUCAGAUGUCAAAGAAGGAGGAAGAAAAAGGGAACUGCAUCUGAAACUGCAUGACUAGAGUACAGCAGAGGGAAACGGAAUUCCUGGUGUAGAGGUGAAAUUCGUAGAUAUCAGGAGGAACACCGGUGGCGAAGGCGGUUUCCUGGGCUGAUACUGACACUGAGGCGCGAAAGCGUGGGGAGCAAACAG